UACGGAGGGUGCAAGCGUUGUCCGGAAUCACUGGGCGUAAAGGGCGCGUAGGCGGCCCGCUAAGUCGAACGUGAAAUCCCCAGGCUCAACCUGGGAACUGCGUCCGAUACUGGCAGGCUUGAAUCCGGGAGAGGGAUGUGGAAUUCCAGGUGUAGCGGUGAAAUGCGUAGAUAUCUGGAGGAACACCGGUGGCGAAGGCGGCAUCCUGGACCGGUAUUGACGCUGAGGCGUGAAAGCUAGGGGAGCAAACGGG
rnacentral:rRNA from 1 species